rnacentral:rRNA from 1 species
CGAAGGCUCCAAAGGAAGUCACGGCUAACUCUGUGCCAGCAGCCGCGGUAAUACAGAGGUGGCAAGCGUUGUUCGGAAUUAUUGGGCGUAAAGAGCACGUAGGUGGGUUUGUAAGUCAGAUGUGGAAGCCUCCUGUUCAACGGGAGAAUUGCAUCUGAAACUACUGAUCUUGAGUAUAGGAGGGGAGAAUGGAACUUCUGGUGGAGCGGUGAAAUGCGUAGAUAUCAGAAGGAACGCCGGCGGCGAAAGCGAUUCUCUGGCCUAUUACUGACACUCAGUGUGCGAAAGCUAGGGGAGCAAACGGGAUUAGAUACCCCGGUAGUCCUAGCCGUAAA